GCGGGAGCUUAAGCGUUUCAUUGAUCUUCUCGAGCACUGUCUGUAGCUUCUGCUUCUGAGCAAUUUCAGACUGAGUAACUUCAGCAACAUUCAGCUUCUCACUUUCAAGUUUCUCAAAUAAUUUCUGCAGUACUUGUCCAUCGUACAGGUCUUCAGCCAAGUCUUUCACAAUAAUCCUCUCUCCUACCAACACAUCAUUAAUCCAGUCAAUUAAUACCUUCAUCAGUUCUUGUAAUUUUGGGUCAUUUCUUGAAUUUGGAUCGACCAUUGUUCGGACUUCAUUUUCCUCUAGCAUAGUGUCCUCAGGGUCUAGUUCGAAUGGAAUCGGACUGAGAGGUAAGUUAAUGGCAUUCAUUCCUUCUUCCUGUAAUUCAGAUACUUCUUUGGCUUUUUUCCUCCUCGCCAGCGUGCCGCCGAGCUUGCCCAGGAAGGAGUCAUCCUUUUUCCUGGACGGGGGCGAUUUCGGGGUGGGAGAUUUGGGGGAAGAAGGGGACUUCUGGGGGGACGAUGCCAUGGCGGCCCGGCCGGCGCUCGGGGAUGGAGGAGACGGCUGCGAGGCCCCGGAGCCGUGGGAGGCCGCUCCCGGCUCUGAACGGAAGCGGAAUUAUUCCAGGCAUUUGAGGCAGCUCCGCGCCGCUCUCCCGCUCCUGCCCUGCCUCCCGCCCGCCCUCCGCCACGCGCCUCGACCGGCGGCUGCGCCCCCCCGCCCUCACCUGUCCCCCCGGGGGGGCGGCCUUCCCGCCCCGCCGUACCUUCCCGCGGGUCGGCUCACCUCGGGCUCUGGCGCGGGGCGACCCGCUCGGCGAAAAGCCUCGCCGCACCGCAGCUCGGGUGCGGGCGGAGGGGCAGCUUCGGCAGGGGAAGGGCGCAGCCCGGCAGCCCGAGCGGGACCGGGCCUCGGGGCGGUGCGGCGUCUGAGGGCCGCGGUGCCCUGCCGGCCGCCCGAGCUGAGGGGCGCCUGUGUGAGGAGCCGCGCGCGCGGGGCGGCUGCGGGCUGAGAGCGGGCCGGGCAGUCCUGGGACUCCUCGGUACCGGCUGGCAGCUGCGGGAGGGGUGGGCGCUGCAGGCAGGUGUUUCUGCGCUCUGCGAUCAGCUAAUCAAGUAACCGUGCACUGGGUCGCCUUGUGCAAGCUGGAGGCACGCGUGCGUCUCCGUGGAGCACGCUUUGCUAAGCAGCCUGCGGGUUACCGCCGCAGCCGUUGCCUGAGGGAGGCGGGCGUCUACGGAAAUAAAUACCCGCUGUGGAAACCGGGGGGCAGAAAGGUGACUUAGCGCGAUAGACGGCCCGUGCUAACCCUGCUUUGGUUUGCACGUGAGUAGCUUAAGAGAGGAGCUUUCUUAAAGCUCGGGAGCCGGUGCGGGAGGCGCCCGGGGCGGCGGUGUGUCAGCUGCAGGCACCGCUUCCACUGCCCGCUUAAUCACUCGAUUAACAAUUCAGGCAAAAAGCCACACACGCUUCAUGCAAAUACCUAGCUAUCCAUUAGGCGGAAUAAGGGAAAUGAAAUUACCGCGAGGAUACUGCUAAAUCAGCUCAUAAUUGUUGUGUUUUCACAAGCUGGUGGCAUUGGUUAGCUGACAUCAAUGAGUAUUUGUUGUGUGCAGUUAGGAUAUGCCCUGGGGAAAAGCUUUAUUCAUCCACGCUGCCGUCAGUUAAAAGCAGAACGAGCCCAGGCUGCCACCGCCGCCCUGCAUGUCCCGGGGUUUGCUGUCUGGCUCAGAGCAACGCUUGUGUUCCCUGGACUGCUGUCUGCAGGCUUUCUGGAAAGCUUUGCCAUCUAUGAUGAUUCUCUUUGAGGACAGUCACGACAUUCAUUUUCUUCGUACCUUAAAGUCAGAACGACGUAUGCAAUUUUUUUGUUCCUCUUUUCAUCUGGGAACAUAUACAGAAGCAUGACUUUAACGCUGCAUUCAGCUGAAAGGGUCUUAUAGACAUGCAUAAGGCCUAGCUUAUGGCAGACAUGGGAAUGCUGCUUUGAAAUGCCGAGCUCUUAGGCAAGUAUCAUUUUAACCACAGAGCAAAGCUGCAGUGACAUGAACUUGCCGUGGAUUUUCAUGCGGCUAGGUUUUUGCUUUGCUUCACAUGUGAUAGCUGAAUGCUUUCACAGCCGUGCUCCCUGAUCCCACACGCAGGACACAACAGCAGCAGGCUGCAGUUCAGGCUGCCCCACUGCAUCUACACCUGGAGCAGACCACAAGGGCUCUCACCGUGCUCCCUGUCAGCACCUUGUUCUUACUGGUGAGCCAACCAAUAGCUCAAGUUAAUUGUAGCCUCAUCAUAUGUAUGCUAUUGCCAGGUAGUAAGAGGUGGUUACAUCACCGCACUUCAAAUGCAUUCUUAUUCACCUGCAUAUCCAUCCAUGCACACCUGUUUGUUUUUUUUCUUUUUCUUUUACUACAGGACUCAGAAUGAUUGGGAAUAGACUUUUGCUUCUGAUUGAGGUAGAAGAGACAUGAUACAUAAAAUACCCACCGCGGGCUAGGCUAAUGAGCAGGAGCACUGCAGCACUGAAAGGACACCAUAUACGUACCAUCUGAGAUGGCUGACUCCUGGGAUAGAGGUCAGCUCUGUUGUCCUAUCUAGUUUUUCAAAGUACUCUUGCUUAUUGUUAUUAUUUAAACACACAGGCUUAAAGCCAAGCUGCUUAAGGCCACACAAUAAAUUAUUCCUUUGUCUUUAAGUUCAGCGUUUGUCUCUGAAGUGUACCCUCUGCAUGAGCCUUUUAUCUGACCGGUCACAAACCGUGGAAGGCAAAUUUGCAAACAUGCUCCAGUGACCUACUGUUAUUGCUGUAGCUGCUUACAGCAAAUCUCUUCACUGACUUCAGGAGGAACAGAACUAGACCCAAGUCUACCCUUUUCAUUUUUCCACACGUUUGCUCUCGGCGAUCUGACUGCCAAUUCUGCAUAGUUAAUUACUGAACGUGCCCUCCCCCAUACCUCCCCACCAAGUAAUAGUCAACAGCACAAUAAAAGAGGCUGCUUAGAAACCUAACAAAAGAUUAUGUAUUGUAUACAUCUGCAGAGAUGAAAUAUUUUAGAAGUUUCAAAGAGAAAUGUCACUCAGAUGCUAAUAUCAUUCUGGUCCUUUAUGCUUCUAGCCACAUGUAGUUCUGUCAAUUCGUCAUCUAUGAGUGCAUGGCCAAAUUGAUAUGCAUUUGCAUCUGACCACGUUGAGACUGUUUUAGGAAAAAUCAGUAUCAGGAAUCUUUCUUAAUAAGCAUCACUUGUGCCUUUCACUUGAGCCCAUGAUUUUGUGCAUCUGUUACAUCAAUACUGCAGAGAGCACAUUGCUGGCACGCAGGGCCACCAGACCUCUGUCAGUGGUUCUUUGGAAACAACAGAAGAAACUAUCUGAAAAGAACCCUGUGGUUUGUUCGUAGAUAUGAGGGGCAUAAUGAUUAAGGUGAAAUCCAGUUUGCACUUUACAUAUCACAAGGUAUUUGCCAGGUUCAUGAGGUAUGGCUGCCAUGAAGACUGUGGGGAUCAUUUUCACACGCUACCACGGUAAAUCCAUUGUGCAAAUAACCAUACGGUCCACACAGAACUCAGCAGAGACACUUUUAGGCCUUAACAAUAGCAAAAUUUUCCAACCUGCUAGGGCACAUUCUGGUAUGUGCUUACAUGAGAAAGAAAACACUCUAUCUUUCUGAAAACGCUAAAUAAAAGUGAAAUUCUUAGUGGAAAUCACAUAUGCCUUAGGCUAAAGAGUAGUUUCAAGGACUAAGUCCAAGUUCACUGCCUGUGCCCAGAGAAACCUAGCCAAACAGUAUAAAAACCAGUAAGGCAUUCCUUUACCUUGAGGGCAGACAGAUUGAUCUUGAGGCAAAUAACAGCUUACAAAAUCCAUUCCCUGAAAUCCUUGCCCAGUUGGCUUUUUUUAGAUACACAAUCUUUUGAAGACAGAAGGAGCAAAUAGGAGGGGAGCCUCAGUCAAUUUGUUGGUGGCAUUCCUCCCCACACUGUGCUCUGGGAUAGCCAAACCCCCUCAGUGGUCAUCUGCUGCCUGAGAGGGGUUAAACACAGAUCAAAGUUUCACAUAUUACUUCCAGUGAACCCAGCAGGCAGGUAAUUCCUCUGCAGUCCUGAGAUAUCGUGAGCAGUACAGAACGAGGAGUCACUACCAUGCCUGUCUGCCUCUCAGGCACACAAAAUAGAAAGGAAAGUAUGUGUCAGUAGAAGAAAAAGCUCAGUUCGAAUGUGCCAGAAAUUACCUUGACCUCAAAGGGAAGCUGCCGCUGUCCAUCUGCCAUCUGAAGAGGAGGAACUAUCAAGCAGUUCAAAGCUGCUGAGCCGGGAAUGACAGUGCAGAUGCUAAUAUAAGCUCCAGUCUUGCUUCUCUCAUCUUGAACGGCACGUUGUCUUGCUCUGAAAGGCUUCCCCACUGGUAAAAAGCAACAAAAUGAGAUGACCUAAUGUAAGUAAGCCUAUGGGAAUUUGCAAAUUGGCAUUUAAGGUUUUGAUCACCAGUUCUUAGUGAUCCACAUGGAUACUUUUCCUUCAAGUCUUCAGGGAGCUGUUACAGUUUGUAUGUCGUGUCUGAGGAAAUUAGGUUGUGAGUUCCUGUGUAGGAAAGUUGUUGAUUUCAUGGAUUUCACAACCUGUUAUGUUAGAAGUAGGAUUGAAUACCAUCCAGCUUCAGGGUGUCAUUAUUUCUAAACUAUAAAAUGCAACUGUGAGCUGCAAGACAGGGUAAUCGACUUCCCAGUAUACGAUUAAGAAACUGAUAUCAUUUCUUACCCACUGAUUUUUCCUAGACACACAUUAUUAUACUGUAGGUACCAGAGGAGAGAAAUUACUAUGGAAAUGACUCACAAGCACUUCAGAGAGUGAGAUACAAUUUUAUUUCUUCAAAUACGAAAUUGCUCACAUCCAGUCCAUUUAGACAUGGCAAUACAUUCCAGCACAUCACAUUAAACCCAACAACGACAGUGCCAAGGACUGAAAAAAAAAAAAAAGAAAAAAAAUACCCCAACAAAUCCAGUAGUCGUUAAUGAGUCAAUUUACAGAAAAGAUCAAGCAGUAACAACUCGUAACAAAACACAUUUAGACAGAUUAGUAAUACAUGCCAGCCAUAUUAAAUUGACCAGCAAACAGAGCACAUAGCUUAUUUCUCCUGCCUCCUCUAUUCACACAGUACAAAGACUUGCUUUAAAUUGCUCAAGAAUGUAUUCUUUUCCUGCUUUGCCUGCAUAGCUUGUUUUUGGAUCUAAUCUUGUGAGGCAUGCAGUACCAGUCAGGGUAGCAGUAGCCUGCCAGGUUUUUCCACCCAAGAAUAGACACGUGGGACCUGUCGUGGAUGGAGUGUGUUAUCACCACAUGGCGUGCAGAAAAGUAUCAUUUCAGCAAUGAAUACCUGUAUAGUCCAUUCAAUGCUGAUGGCUCUCAACUCCUGCUGCCUCUAAUCUCUUGGCUUUCAAUGGCCAAACAAGUAUCUGCUGUAAGGUAAGUCUCAGGGCCUGUAUGCACCACAGAGCGACCUGAGGCCAGGCUCUUGCAGCACAGCACCUGCCCUGGGUGAGCGGGUUGGACUUCGGCAGAGGACCUGCUUCACAUUUCUCUGGGGCUGCCCUUCCUUCUCCUCCAUGUACGGAGGAGAAUGAGUGGGUUUUUACUACAAUUUAGGUGAAUAAAUAAUCACUGAUUGAUAUAAUCGAGGGCUUCUGCGCUGAAUUGCCUUACUGUGCAAAGCACUAAGAAAAUAAGUUUGCUGUAAAACUUGUAAAAAAAAAAAAGAAAAGAAUCCAUUGAAAGCAUGACGACCCUCAGUUUUCUACAGAAAACAAUGACAGAUGAUCUAGAUCAGUAUCACUCUACUGGACUACAUGAGGCUUCUGGGAACAGUGAUAAAAUCCAUACGUUUUCUCCACAAAACCAGGAAUGCCAGCAGAUUUCAACAGAGAAAAUGAACAUAUUUAUUGCUGUCCUGCUUGCUUCUACUUUGUGUCAAUCUAAAGGAACAGAGUUAGUUGUAGAAUCAAUCACUGCAAUCCAUCUCAAUAAAAAUGUAACUUGAAGAUCGAGGUAUGCUCAGCAUAUGAAUGACAGAAAAAAAAUGACUGAUGGUAAUUUUGGAAUACAUUCAGGGAUCCUGCUAUGUCUCUCAACCAAAAUGAAAGACAAAUUAUACUGUUAAAGCUCUACGUGUUAUGUUGUAAGGGUAUCCCACUGAGAUAUUAUUUACAUCUUAAUUUAUUACUAAUAAUUACCAAAUCCAUAAAGCUACCUAAUCUACUCUGCAGACCUUUACCUAUAAAUAACUGUUAGAAAUAAACUUAUUUAUGAAAAUUGGAGACAACAUCCGAACCGUAAAAUAUAACAUGACUCUCUUAUCCGCCUUACACAGACUAAUAAAUAGGUAUAAAUACAUAAAUAUUGCAUAACAGUAGCGUAAUCCUUGCAGCAACGGAGGUAUAUUAUGUAUUUGUGGUCAACAGUGAAAACUUUUUUUAAUUUCAAAAAGGAUAUUUUAAAUUUCUUACAAUACAGCAAAAACUUAAGAUCACUCAUAAAUUAUUGUACCAAGAUCCAGUGUACCUGUUACCCUACAGCUAGUUACCAAGGGCUUAUUUAGCUUAAUUUUCUCAUAACAAGAAUGCUCGUAGCUUUGGCUGUGAGAAGGCAGCUCUUGCAAGUAAGCACCCGUCACGAAGUAAUGAGAACAUCAAAUCUUUGAGUCAUAGUGUGAGGUAAAAUGAUGUUCAGGAAGAAACAGUCUUUUGGUCUCUUUGGUUUUUCAGCUUGAGAAUGAAGUGCAUCGUAUGUACAAGUCUGAAAUAUUACCAAUCUCAGACUGCAGAUUUAAGAAAGUACAUAAAGUUAUCCUG
rnacentral:lncRNA from 1 species